GUGGGUAUAGCUCAGUGGUAGAGAGCAAGCUUGGCAUGCACAAGGGCCUGGGUUCAAUCCCCAGUACCUCUG
rnacentral:tRNA from 1 species